AGUGAACGCUGGCGGCGUGCCUAAUACAUGCAAGUCGAACGGAAUUUAAAAGAGCUUGCUCUUUUGAAUUUAGUGGCGCACGGGUGAGUAAUAUAUAGCUAAUCUGCCCCUUGCUGGAGGACAACAGUUAGAAAUGACUGCUAAUACUCCAUACUCCUUUUUACCAUAAGAUAAAUCGGGAAAGAAUUUCGGCAAGGGAUGAGACUAUAUCGUAUCAGCUAGUCGGUGGGGUAACGGCCUACCGAGGCUAUGACGCGUAACUGGUCUGAGAGGAUGAUCAGUCACAUUGGAACUGAGACACGGUCCAAACUCCUACGGGAGGCAGCAGUAGGGAAUAUUGCGCAAUGGGGGAAACCCUGACGCAGCAACGCCGCGUGGAGGAUGACACUUUUCGGAGCGUAAACUCCUUUUGUUAGGGAAGAAUAAUGACGGUACCUAACGAUAAGCACCGGUAA
rnacentral:rRNA from 1 species